UUCAGGGGGUGCUGCAGCACGCCUACUACCCGUGGCUAUGAUUGCAUUUGUACCUUUCCAUAAAUGACACCCCAUUCACCAAAACCGUGGCCAAGGCACGUGCUUUGCAAAAGCUCAAAACUGUCAACAUCAGCCACAGGUUGGUAUUUAGCUAAACUAAAGCAAACUACAAACAAUGUUUCCUAAUCCUAGCCAAUCUGUACUACUUGGAUACUUCAAUAAACUAGCUAACGUUAACGGUUUUCCGAUUAUAUACUUUACUUGAUACUUAACGCUUAAAGUUACAUUAAAUUGUGCAUAGUAUUUCGUAAUCUAGCUACACAGCAGUUCUGACAUGCGCAAUAUUGAGGUUCUUUGGCCAAAGAUGGUCGUUUACCAUUUAAAAAUGGUCAGUUCCGGUCUGCUUAACGGGGUGGCUCUCCCAUAGACACCAAUGCAAUAGCAGCUGGGUCUAGUGUACUUAGUUCAUUGACUUUCAUUGAACCACAAAAAAACAGCGAGUGUUGUGUCUUGCUUCCUCUUCUGUCCAAAAUUAUUCCAUAGUUGUUCAUUUCCUCGAAAUCUAAGAUUCGAGACCAUGUCUUAAGUAGUUUAACAUGUUAUUACAACAACCUCAUGAAAGUGACAAACAGAUACGUUGUCAUUUUCGUCAAAAACAACUUUAUAUCGAAGGAGAGCCUUUGAGUUGACGGCUUGCACAUGCGCAGUUCGGUGCGAGAUGACCGUUGGACCCGAUGACGCAUGAGUUUAGCUAGCCAAUGCCGCCAUGACCUCGCCUACAGGUAUGAUAUAGGGGAUUUCGAUUAGAGAAGCAGUUUUAGCCUGUUUUAAUGCUGUUCUGUCUUUGAUUUGGUUUAUGACAGAAGGGAAGAGAUUGUAAACAUGGGGGACCACGUGACAUCUAACGGACAAGGAUUUAAAGCCACAGUAAAAAGCAUAUCGCCUAAAAACUUUGGUUUAAAAUAACAGGAGUAGCAGGAAUUUAUUGUAUAUCAUAACUGUCAAUGUUAACAUUAUACAUAUGGUGUUCGUUUGCACCCCUUUUCCAAAGUACUGUUUUUGCCUUAUUUCAGCAUGAUCUCUGUCUGUGACCAACUGCUUUGAAUAUCCCUCAAUGCACAAACGUGAGCUACUUGUUUCCAUAGAGACAGUGGUCGACCCAAGCUGCAGCAGAGAAGAGUGAUUCCACAUCAGUACCAUGUCUCAGUUCUCAACUGAGGAUGAGGCUGAACUAAGACAGAAUCUCAGAUAUGAAUUUGUUAAGUACCUUCGGCAGUAUGUGGAAAGCGCUCUGGGAGCAGUUAUUGAGGAGGAGACAGAGAGCUGUGCCAGAGGAGAGGGGCAUGCUGUUCUGUCCGGUCAGAACACCUUGGUUCAUGCUGUUACAAGGAGGACUAGAGAAUCUGGAGAGUAACAAUAAUGUAAAUGCCUGCGCCAAAGCCUGCGAUCUUAUCCUCCACAAAAUCGUCUGUAGCGUCCGAACAGUUUGGUUUAC